rnacentral:rRNA from 1 species
UACGUAGGGUGGCGAGCGUUAAUCGGAAUUACUGGGCGUAAAGCGUGCGCAGGCGGUUCGUUAAGUCAGAUGUGAAAGCCCCGGGCUCCAACCUGGGAACUGCAUUUGAAACUGGCGGGCUUGAGUGUGGCAGAGGGGGUGGGGAAUUCCGCGUGUAGCAGUGAAAUGCGUAGAGAUCCGGAAGAACACCGGUGGCGAAGGCGGUUAGCUGGGCGAGUGCUGACACUGAGGCGCGACAGCGUGGGGAGCAAACAGG